UCUUUCGAGUUAAGAUGAGUGGAACAAAAAUAAAAAGCAUGGCGGUCCUUAAUCUCGUUAGAGGGGCAUGUAGCUAAAAACGAAUUUGCACGAGGAUCUGUCCUGGUCUCGAAUAAGUUUCAUUUUGUACACCGCUGUCUGAAAGAAAUUGUAAAAGUAUUUUCUCUAUUCUUUUAGAAGAAAUAAGGCAAGUUAAGGUGCAGAUGAUGAUCAGGGGGCUAUGUGCUCCGAUAAGAAUUUUAGACUAGUUAGAUGAAAUUUUACUAGAAAAGAGAAUUUAAUAGUAAGAUUAGGAAUUUAUCUAAUCUGAAGAGGGGCUAUGAAGGGUGU
rnacentral:rRNA from 1 species